rnacentral:rRNA from 1 species
UGGGGAAUAUUGCACAAUGGGCGCAAGCCUGAUGCAGCCAUGCCGCGUGUAUGAAGAAGGCCUUCGGGUUGUAAAGUACUUUCAGCGGGGAGGAAGGGAGUAAAGUUAAUACCUUUGCUCAUUGACGUUACCCGCAGAAGAAGCACCGGCUAACUCCGUGCCAGCAGCCGCGGUAAUACGGAGGGUGCAAGCGUUAAUCGGAAUUACUGGGCGUAAAGCGCACGCAGGCGGUUUGUUAAGUCAGAUGUGAAAUCCCCGGGCUCAACCUGGGAACUGCAUCUGAUACUGGCAAGCUUGAGUCUCGUAGAGGGGGGUAGAAUUCCAGGUGUAGCGGUGAAAUGCGUAGAGAUCUGGAGGAAUACCGGUGGCGAAGGCGGCCCCCUGGAAGAAGACUGACGCUCAGGUGCGAAAGCGUGGGGAGCAAACAGG